rnacentral:rRNA from 1 species
AUUGAACGCUGGCGGCAGGCCUAACACAUGCAAGUCGAGCGCGCGGCGGACGGGUGAGUAAUGUCUGGGAAACUGCAUGAUGGAUGGGGAUAACUACUGGAAACGGAAGCUAAUACAGCAUACCAUCGGAUGUGCCCAAAUGGGAUUAGCUAGUGGGUGGGGUCACGGCUCACCUAGGCGACGAACCCUAGCUGGUCUGAGAGGAUGACCAGCCACACUUGAACUGCGAUACGCUCCAGACUCCUACGGGAGGCAGCAGUGGGGAAUAUUGCACAAUGGGCGAAACCCUGCUGCAGCCAUGCCGCGUGUGUGAAGAAGGCCUUCGGGUUGUAAAGCACUUUCAGCGGGGAGGCGUUACCCGCAGAAGAAGCACCGGCUAACUCCGUGCCAGCAGCCGCGGUAAUAC